rnacentral:rRNA from 1 species
UGGGGAAUUUUGCACAAUGGGGGAAACCCUGAUGCAGCGACGCCGCGUGAUUUAGAAGGCCUUCGGGUUGUAAAAAUCUUUUUUACGGGAUGAAAAUGACAGUACCGUAAGAAUAAGGUCCGGCUAAAUACGUGCCAGCAGCCGCGGUAAUACGUAUGGACCGAGCGUUGUCCGGAAUCAUUGGGCGUAAAGGGUACGUAGGCGGCCUAGUAAGUUAGAAGUGAAAUAAUAUAGCUCAACUAUAUAAAGCUUUUAAAACUGCUAGGCUUGAGAGAUGGAAGGGAAAGUGGAGUUCCUAGUGUAGCGGUGAAAUGCGCAGAUAUUAGGAAGAAUACCGGUGGCGAAGGCGACUUUCUGGUCAUCAUCUGACGCUGAGGUACGAAAGCGUGGGUAGCAAACAGG